rnacentral:rRNA from 1 species
GCUUAACACAUGCAAGUCGAACGCGAAAGGGACUUCGGUCCUGAGUAAAGUGGCGCACGGGUGAGUAACGCGUAGAUAACCUGUCUUCAUGUCUGGAAUAAUACGCCGAAAGGGGUACUAAUACCGGAUAUUCUUGCUUUUCAUAAGUUAUGCAAGCAAAGGUGGCCUCUGCAUAUGCUACUGCAUGAAGAGGGGUCUGCGUACCAUUAGCUAGUAGGUGGGGUAAUGGCCUACCUAGGCGACGAUGGUUAGCGGGUCUGAGAGGAUGAUCCGCCACACUGGCACUGGAACACGGGCCAGACUCCUACGGGAGGCAGCAGUGAGGAAUAUUGCGCAAUGGGGGAAACCCUGACGCAGCGACGCCGCGUGAGUGAAGGAAGGCCUUCGGGUCGUAAAGCUCUGUCAAGAGGAAAGAAGUGUACAAUGGCUAAUACCUGUUGUAUUUGACGGUACCUCUAAAGGAAGCACCGGCUAACUCCGUGCCAGCCGCUGC